UACGUAGGUGGCAAGCGUUGUCCGGAUUUACUGGGCGUAAAGGGCGUGCAGGCGGUCUGUUAAGUGCAGGGUGAAAGCUCCCGGCUCAACUGGGAGAGGUCCUUGCAUACUGGCGGACUUGAGGGGGGUAGAGGAAAGUGGAAUUCCUGGUGUAGCGGUGAAAUGCGCAGAUAUCAGGAGGAACACCGGUGGCGAAGGCGGGUCUCUGGGCCGAUACUGACGCUGAGGAGCGAAAGCGUGGGGAGCGAACAGG
rnacentral:rRNA from 1 species